rnacentral:rRNA from 1 species
AUGGCCGACGCCGGAGCUCGCCACCUCCUGCUGCUGCUCCUCGCCGCCGCGGGGGUCCUCCUCCUCGCCUCCCCCGCCGCGGCGGAGAUCCGGGCGGAGUCCUUCCGGGAGGACCCGCGCCACACCAUCCUGUUCGAGAAGUUCGGCUUCUCCAAGACCGGGGCCGUCCGCAUCAUCCUCUCCGGCGCCGCCGUCUCCUCCUCCUUCGCGCGGGCGGACCCCAAGCAGAUCGGCUUCUUCCUCCUCGCCGACGAGUCCCUCCUGCAGGCCGCCUCCGAGUCGCGGCCGCCGGCGGAGAAGCGCGCGGAGCCGGACGACCCAACCGGCGCCGACGAGCCCGACCUGUCCGGCUGCGUCCUCUCCAGCCCCUACGUCAAGAAGCUCUUCACCUUCCACGACAUGGAGGGCGGGCACUACAACAAGUCCUUCCCGGUCACCCACCCCGACGAGUACAGCCUCUACUUCGCGAACUGCGCGCCGGAGUCGCUCGUCUCCAUGAACGUCCGCACCGAGAUGUACAACGCCAACCCGGACGGCUCCAAGGACUACCUCCCCGUCGGCCAGGCGCCCGUCCCGGCCAUCUACGGCUUCUUCGCCUUCGGCUACGCCGCGUUCCUCGCCGGCUGGGCCUACCUCACGCUCUCCCGCGACCGCGUGGCGGCCAACCAAAUCCACCACCUCAUGUCCGCGCUCCUCGUGGCGCGCCUGCUCUACUGCCUCUCGGCCGCCGAGGACCAGCACUACAUCCGCGUCACCGGCACGCCGCACGGCUGGGACGUGGCCUUCUACCUCUUCCAGCUCAUCAAGGGCGUCAUCCUCUUCGCGGUCAUCGUGCUGGUCGGCACGGGCUGGUCCUUCCUGAGGCCCUUCCUGCAGGACCGGGAGAAGAAGGUGCUCAUGGUGGUGAUCCCGCUGCAGGUCAUGGCCAACAUCGCCGACGCGGUCAUCGGGGAGACCGGGCCGUUCAUGCAGAGCUGGGUGACAUGGAACCAGAUCUUGCUGUUCGUCGACGUCGCCUGCUGCUGCGCCGUGCUCUUCCCGGUCGUCUGGUCCAUGCGGUCGCUCCGGGAGACGUCCAAGACCGACGGCAAGGCGGCGCGGAAUCUGUCCAAGCUCACUCUGUUCCGGCAGUUCUACACCGUGGUGAUUGGGUACCUGUACUUCACCAGGAUCGUGGUGUUUGCGCUCAGGACUAUUGCCAGUUACCAGUACCGGUGGGUGAGCAUCCUGGCCGAGGAAGUGGCAUCAAUGGCGUUCUACAUGUACAUGUUCUACACAUUCAGGCCGGCCGAGAGGAGCAAGUACUUCUCUCUGGACGACGACGAUGAGGAGGCCGCGGAGAUGGUGCUCCGGGAAGAGGAAUUCGAGCUCUGA